UGGGGAAUUUUGGACAAUGGGCGAAAGCCUGAUCCAGCCAUGCCGCGUGAGUGAAGAAGGCCUUCGGGUUGUAAAGCUCUUUUAGUCGGAAAGAAAGAGUUGCAAUGAAUAAUUGUGAUUUAUGACGGUACCGACAGAAAAAGCACCGGCUAACUACGUGCCAGCAGCCGCGGUAAUACGUAGGGUGCGAGCGUUAAUCGGAAUUACUGGGCGUAAAGGGUGCGCAGGCGGUCUUGCAAGUCAGAUGUGAAAGCCCCGGGCUUAACCUGGGAAUUGCGUUUGAAACUACAAGGCUAGAGUGCAGCAGAGGGGAGUGGAAUUCCAUGUGUAGCAGUGAAAUGCGUAGAGAUGUGGAAGAACACCGAUGGCGAAGGCAGCUCCCUGGGUUGACACUGACGCUCAUGCACGAAAGCGUGGGGAGCAAA
rnacentral:rRNA from 1 species